GCCGAGCUUGGUGACGCAAGCUUGUAACCUGAGUGGGGGCUGUAAAAUGCUGGAACUCGGGUUCGUGCUCUUAAGUCGGGUUCCACUGUGGUUUGGUUCUUGCUUGCCCAUUCCAAGCCAGGAGUCGAGUUAUGAGAUUCGAGCUAAGGCCCGGGUCUCGUGAUUCCUAAAGAAGAGGGAACUGCGUGAGGCUGGUUUCACAGAGCAACGAUCACCUCUCGCUCUUUGCAGUGGAAGGAUUACAAGCUUAGUCCACAGUCAACCCAAUGAGGCUCAAUGGUUCGAACCCUGGUUGGACUAACAUUUUU
rfam:Gossypium raimondii Chr06_contig_1240, whole genome shotgun sequence.